GCUGUCGUGGCGCAAACAGGCAGACGCUCACGAUUAAGAAUCGUGAUGAUGAGAGUUCAAGUCUCUCCGGCAGCACCA
rnacentral:tRNA from 1 species